rnacentral:rRNA from 1 species
GGGGGGGGGGGGGGGCGGGGGGGGUAGAGGCAGGUCGAGCGAACGGACGAGGGGCUUGCUCCUGUGACGUUAGCGGCGGACGGGUGAGUAACACGUGGGUCACCUACCUAUAAGACUGGGCUAACUUCGGGAAACCGGCGCGAAUACCGGCUAAUAUUUCGAACCGCAUGGUUCGAUAGUGAAAGAUGGCUCUGCUAUCACUUAUCGAUGGACCUGCGCCGUAUUAGCUAGUUGGUAAGGUAACGGCUUACCAAGGCAACGAUACGUAGCCGACCUGAGAGGGUGAUCGGCCACACUGGAACUGAGACACGGUCCAGACUCCUACGGGAGGCAGCAGUAGGGAAUCUUCCGCAAUGGGCGAAAGCCUGACGGAGCAACGCCGCGUGAGUGAUGAAGGUCUUCGGAUCGUAAAACUCUGUUAUUAGGGAAGAACAAACGUGUAAGUAACUGUGCACGUCUUGACGGUACCUAAUCAGAAAGCCACGGCUAACUACGUG